rnacentral:misc_RNA from 1 species
CAACCCUCAAGCGCUGUAGUGCUUGGCGUUGGGGCAUCUGCUGCCUGUAGCAGGCCCUGAAAGAUAGUGGCGAGGUCGCUGACCCUGAGCGUAGUAAUUUACACCUCGCUUUGUGGUUCGCAGCGGGUUCUCAGCCGUGAAACCCCCAAAUUUUCACAA